rnacentral:rRNA from 1 species
GACGAACGCUGGCGGCGUGCUUAACACAUGCAAGUCGAACGGAAAGGCCCUGCUUUUGUGGGGUGCUCGAGUGGCGAACGGGUGAGUAACACGUGAGUAACCUGCCCUUGACUUUGGGAUAACUUCAGGAAACUGGGGCUAAUACCGGAUAGGAGCUCCUGCUGCAUGGUGGGGGUUGGAAAGUUUCGGCGGUUGGGGAUGGACUCGCGGCUUAUCAGCUUGUUGGUGGGGUAGUGGCUUACCAAGGCUUUGACGGGUAGCCGGCCUGAGAGGGUGACCGGCCACAUUGGGACUGAGAUACGGCCCAGACUCCUACGGGAGGCAGCAGUGGGGAAUAUUGCACAAUGGGCGGAAGCCCGAUGCAGCAACGCCGCGUGCGGGAUGACGGCCUUCGGGUUGUAAACCGCUUUCGCCUGUGACGAAGCGUGAGUGACGGUAAUGGGUAAAGAAGCACCGGCUAACUACGUGCCAGCAGCCGCGGUGAUACGUAGGGUGCGAGCGUUGUCCGGAUUUAUUGGGCGUAAAGGGCUCGUAGGUGGUUGAUCGCGUCGGAAGUGUAAUCUUGGGGCUUAACCCUGAGCGUGCUUUCGAUACGGGUUGACUUGAGGAAGGUAGGGGAGAAUGGAAUUCCUGGUGGAGCGGUGGAAUGCGCAGAUAUCAGGAGGAACACCAGUGGCGAAGGCGGUUCUCUGGGCCUUUCCUGACGCUGAGGAGCGAAAGCGUGGGGAGCGAACAGGCUUAGAUACCCUGGUAGUCCACGCUGUAAACGGUGGGUACUAGGUGUGGGGUCCAUUCCACGGGUUCCGUGCCGUAGCUAACGCUUUAAGUACCCCGCCUGGGGAGUACGGCCGCAAGGCUAAAACUCAAAGGAAUUGACGGGGCCCCGCACAAGCGGCGGAGCAUGCGGAUUAAUUCGAUGCAACGCGUAGAACCUUACCUGGGUUUGACAUGGAUCGGGAGUGCUCAGAGAUGGGUGUGCCUCUUUUGGGGUCGGUUCACAGGUGGUGCAUGCCUGUCGUCAGCUCGUGUCGUGAGAUGUUGGGUUAAGUCCCGCAACGAGCGCAACCCUUGUUCACUGUUGCCAGCACGUUAUGGUGGGGACUCAGUGGAGACCGCCGGGGUCAACUCGGAGGAAGGUGGGGAUGACGUCAAGUCCUCAUGCCCCUUAUGUCCAGGGCUUCACGCAUGCUACAAUGGCUGGUACAGAGAGUGGCGAGCCUGUGAGGGUGAGCGAAUCUCGGAAAGCCGGUCUCAGUUCGGAUUGGGGUCUGCAACUCGACCUCAUGAAGUCGGAGUCGCUAGUAAUCGCAGAUCAGCAACGCUGCGGUGAAUACGUUCCCGGG